rnacentral:rRNA from 1 species
AUUGAACGCUGGCGGCAGGCCUAACACAUGCAAGUCGAGCGGAAACGAGUUAUCUGAACCUUCGGGGAACGAUAACGGCGUCGAGCGGCGGACGGGUGAGUAAUGCCUGGGAAAUUGCCCUGAUGUGGGGGAUAACCAUUGGAAACGAUGGCUAAUACCGCAUAAUAGCUUCGGCUCAAAGAGGGGGACCUUCGGGCCUCUCGCGUCAGGAUAUGCCCAGGUGGGAUUAGCUAGUUGGUGAGGUAAAGGCUCACCUAGGCGACGAUCCCUAGCUGUUCUGAGAGGAUGAUCAGCCACACUGGGACUGAGACACGGCCCAGACUCCUACGGGAGGCAGCAGUGGGGAAUAUUGCACAAUGGGGGGAACCCUGAUGCAGCCAUGCCGCGUGUGUGAAGAAGGCCCUAGGGUUGUAAAGCACUUUCAGCGAGGAGGAUAGGUUAGUAGUUAAUACCUGCUAGCUGUGACGUUACUCGCAGAAGAAGCACCGGCUAACUCCGUGCCAGCAGCCGCGGUAAUACGGAGGGUGCGAGCGUUAAAUCGGAAUUACUGGGCGUAAAGCGUGCGCAGGCGGUUUGCUAAGUCAGAUGUGAAAGCCCCGGGCUUAACCUG